CACCAAGAUGAGAAAAGAGAAUGAAGUACUCCUGGUUCUUCUGCUCCUGCUUUGCCAGUCCUCUAAGCUAAUCCUUUGACAUCAGAUGUUGGUAUCCUAUACAACUCCCGUCUACUGAGAGCAGGUGCGCAUUUGGGAGCACGAACAAUUCAUUUCAUGAUUUCAUUUCAUGAUUACCUAUCUCAAGGAAAGGGACCUUCAUACACAAUGUGGAAAAGAAAAGAAAAGAAUGCUUUUGGCCAAAUCUUCCCUGGAGUCACUUACACUAUCUUGCAAAGCCCAGGCAUCGAUGAGACUUAGAAAUGUUCCCAGGGACACGAAACUGAGUUGGCAACAGCUCGGGUUGAAAGAGUUCCGAACUCAGAUAUCAGGUGGAAUUGAACGGAGCAGAGACAAAGACCAGAGAGAACAGAGCCUUGAUGAUAUUGAGCACCAUCUCUCACGUUGUUCCCCAAUCCUCUUCUUUCUACAGCUCCAUCUUCAAGCAGAAUGGAGAGUAAAGGGUUGCAAGAGGAACACAACACUGGGCAGGGGAUCAGAAUGACAAAAACCAAACCCAUGGGCUUAGAGGAAAACGUGGAAGACAAGGCAGGAGGUGAGACAGUUGAGACCCAGAGAGGUAUGACAGCUUCCUGAAGUCGUCAUGGAAUAUGUAUCACGGAGAUGGGUAUGCAGCUGAGGUAGAGCUUUCUUUGUGAAAGGAUGAAGCAGCCUGAGAACAGCAUGAAUCAGGAGCAGAUGAAAGCUUCCCUCCCAGGCUCUUUUUCUGAAAGGAAAUGCAACUAGACCACAUAAAACAACCUCUGAGGAAGCUGUGGACUUGCAAUGGAUGAGGCUGCGCCCAUCACCUCCCACUCCCUGAGCUCCAUUCGGCUAGUCUGACGUCACAGUGAGGCUGGGCCCCCGGAUGGGGAGGUGAGCUAGAGUCUGGUUCGGUGAUUUCUUCUGUCCCCACCCAUCUUCCCUGUUAGAGAAAGCAGUGGUUUACAAACAGGAACCCAGUUUGCACGCGGAGUCUGGUUUCCAUCAUUCCCGCUGUCCUGCAUCCUUUGGCCGUGCUCGCUUCUUUGUGGGGAGGCUUGACAGUCUCAUUACUGUCUCCUCUGCUCUGCACAUGCUGUUUGUUUCCUUUAAGCCGCUAGAACUCUGCACUACAGAAAAAUCAGGAAGCUUUCCAGAAGGCAGCAUUAGUGAAUUCCUAUGCCUUCUCACAGGAGCAGUUGGGACCUUCUGAUCUCAAUAUGCAAAGCAGCUGGUAACUUGUAAAUCAGCAGCUCUCAGGUUGACUGUUAAAGAAGACUUUUGCAAGGAUGGUGUGACCAUCUAGCAUGGGACCUACUGAUGGUCAGGGAGUGGUCAUAUGUUCCUGAGCGAAAGCACCAUAGGCAGAAAGACUGGGACCCUCAAGACCUGAGGUAUGGCCUCUGAGAUGGUGCAGCUGCAGGAGAGGUUCCUCUUGAUCACUGUGCUGACUGACAGAAGGUUGAGAUGAUCCAUGAUGCCUCUGCUGGGCUAUAAACACGGUUCCUUGAAGUACAUGAUUGUGUUUGGAAAUAAAGCUUUCUGAUGCAAAUUAAG
rnacentral:lncRNA from 1 species